GUGUUCCACGCUGUCGGUUCGCCGCCCGUCGGUGUUAACUGGCAUGCCUGUGGAACGUCCUGCCGGUGGCGGUCCGGGCUCUCGGCUAGCGUAGGGUUCGCCCGAAGCUGGUCUUGCAGUUCCGGCCGCCGGUCAUAUCCCGCCACGGUGCUCUUCACCGAGUGUCGAGGUGGGCCGGCACGUUUACUUUGAACAAAUUAGAGUGCUUAAAGCAGGCUGGUGUCCGCCUGAAUACUGUGUGCAUGGAAUAAUGGAAUAGGAUCUCGGUUCUAUUUUGUUGGUUUUCGGAACCCGAGGUAAUGAUUAAUAGGGACAGGCGGGGGCAUUCGUAUUGCGACGUUAGAGGUGAAAUUCUUGGAUCGUCGCAAGACGAACCUAAGCGAAAGCAUUUGCCAAGUAUGUCCUCGUUAAUCAAGAACGAAAGUUAGAGGUUCGAAGGCGAUCAGAUACCGCCCUAGUUCUAACCAUAAACGAUGCCAGCCAGCGAUCCGCCGACGUUCCUCCGAUGACUCGGCGGGCAGCUUCCGGGAAACCAAAGCUUUUGGGUUCCGGGGGAAGUAUGGUUGCAAAGCUGAAACUUAAAGGAAUUGACGGAAGGGCACCACCAGGAGUGGAGCCUGCGGCUUAAUUUGACUCAACACGGGAAACCUCACCAGGCCCGGACACCGGAAGGAUUGACAGAUUGAGAGCUCUUUCUUGAUUCGGUGGGUGGUGGUGCAUGGCCGUUCUUAGUUGGUGGAGCGAUUUGUCUGGUUAAUUCCGAUAACGAACGAGACUCUAGCCUGCUAACUAGGCGAUUUCCGGUACCCACAAUAGUGUUACCGGCGAUUCAAUUUCUUCUUAGAGGGACAGGCGGCUCCUAGCCGCACGAGACUGAGCAAUAACAGGUCUGUGAUGCCCUUAGAUGUCCUGGGCCGCACGCGCGCUACACUGAAGGAUUCAGCGUGUCUUCCCUGGCCGACAGGCCCGGGUAACCCGUUGAACCUCCUUCGUGCUAGGGAUUGGGGCUUGCAAUUCUUCCCCAUGAACGAGGAAUUCCCAGUAAGCGCGAGUCAUAAGCUCGCGUUGAUUACGUCCCUGCCCUUUGUACACACCGCCCGUCGCUACUACCGAUUGAAUGAUUUAGUGAGGUCUUCGGACUGGUGCGCGGCGAUCGUCCUAGUACGGCCGCCGAUGUUGCCGGAAAGAUGACCAAACUUGAUCAUUUAGAGGAAGUAAAAGU
rnacentral:rRNA from 1 species